rnacentral:misc_RNA from 1 species
GUGAGCUUUCAUGGAAAUGGGAAGAAUUCCAGAAUUUGUCGGCAUUAAAAAUCUCAAACAAUGAGAUUUCUGGCACAAUACCAGCUGACCUCAGUAAGGCACCUCAAUUGCAAUUACUUGAUAUCUCAUCAAAUCACCUUGUAGGAGUGAUUCCAAAGGAUUUGGGGAAGUUAAAUUUGCUUGAACUUUAUCUUCAUGAUAACAAGCUUUCAGGCAGAAUUCCUGCGGAAAUAGGAAUGUUAUCUGAUCUUGCAAACCUUAACAUGGCAGCAAACAAUCUAAGCGGAACAAUUUCAAAGGAGAUUGGGAAGUGCUCAAAACUGUUGUUCUUGAACCUCAGCAAGAACAAGCUUACAGAGAGCAUUCCUUCAGAAAUAAGCUAUUUGCACUCUCUACAAAGCCUUGAUCUCAGUCAAAAUUUGCUCAUAAAUAAGAUACCACAACAACUUGGAGGUUUGCAAAGACUAGAGACGUUGAACCUUUCUCACAACUUGUUGACAGGUUCCAUUCCAUCUUUCGAUUAUUUAACAAGCUUGACGAAUGUGGAUAUAUCCUACAAUGAGCUGCAGGGUGAAAUUCCAAACAUUAAAGCCUUUCGGGAGGCUUCAUUUGAAGCGUUGAGAAACAACAAAGACCUGUGCGGUAAUAACACCAGACUAAAGCCUUGCGGUUCUCUCGCAGUUAACUGAUUUCAGGUCUGCCUAAGGAGUAUGCUGGAAACAGAACAUUGGUACAUUGAUAGUGGCUGCUCUAGGCACAUGACAGGAAAUAAAGGCAAGUUUUCCUCUCUUACGUUGAAAGAAGAAGGUUAUGUGAAAUUUGGUGAUAAAAGCAAAGCUAAAAUUGUUGGAUGUGGAACUAUUGGUAAAAAUCCUUGCAUUGAGAAUGUUGCAUUAGUUCAAGGAUUAAAGUAUAAUUUUUUAAGUGUUAGUCAACUAUGUGAUAAUGGUUUCAAAGUCAUUUUUACUUCUACACAUUGUGAAAUUCAUGGAAAUAAUGUUAUGUUUGCUGGUGCUAGAAUAGAUAAUAUUUACCUACUUGAUUUAACAAGUCUUGAAGAAAAUUGUGAAACAUGUUUUAUGACUUCAGAUGAUAGUGCAUGGUUAUGGCAUAGAAAAUUAGGACAUGCUAGCAUGAGUACACUUGCUAAACUUUCUAGAAAGAACCUUGUUAGAGGACUUCCAAAGCUAAGAUUUGAAAAAGAAUUUCAAUGCAAAGCUUGUGCACUUGGUAAGCAUACAAAAUCAUAUUUUAAAUCAAAAAAUGUUGUAACUACGUCUAGACCAUUGGAAUUGUUGCAUCUUGAUCUUUUUGGUCCAAUCACACCUAGAAGUCUAGGAGGCAAGGCAUAUGCAUUUGUAAUUGUUGAUGAUUUUUCAAGAUUCACAUGGACUUUCUUUCUUGCUCAUAAAGAUGAAACCUUUGAUAUAUUUGAAGCUUUUUGCAAAAGAACUCAAAAUGAAAAAGGGUAUUGCAUUACAUCUUUGAGGAGUGAUCAUGGAAAAGAAUUUGAAAAUAAUUUGUUUGAAAAUUUCUGCUCUCAAAAUAGUAUUUAUCAUACAUUUUCAGCUCCUAGAACUCCACAACAAAAUGGAGUUGUUGAAAGGAAAAAUAGAUCUUUGCAAGAAAUGGCAAGAACAAUGCUGAAUGAAAACAGUUUACCAAAAUAUUUUUGGGCAGAAGCUGUAAAUACAGCAUGCUACAUUUUAAACAGAGUUUCCAUUAGAGCUAUUUUAAAGAAAACUCCUUAUGAACUUUGGAAAGGAAGAAAACCCAAUAUUGCAUAUUUUCAUGUCUUUGGUUGCAAAUGUUACAUUUUGAAAAACAAAGACAGCAAUCUCAAGAAAUUUGAUGCUAAAUCCUGUGAAGGAAUAUUUCUAGGCUAUUCAACAAAUAGCAAAGCAUAUAGGAUCUUCAAUAGAAAAACAUUGACCAUGGAAGAAUCAAUGCAUAUACUUUUUGAUGAUGCUAACACUUCCUUGCAAAGGAAAGAUUCUUGUGAUGAUGAGAUUGAGCAGAUUCUAAACUCAAAGAGUUCAAAUAAUGAUGAGCUUGAAUCAAAAGAACCAGUGGAGGAUGAUCAAAAUGACAAAGAAGAAGAACUCCCUUGCUCCACAAAUAUUGAAAUACAAGAUGACUCCCAACCAAAUGUGGAAGAACUACAAAUUGAGGAACCUCAACAUCAAGAUAUUCCACAAGAAUGGAGGUACCAUAGAAAUCAUUCCAAAGAUGACAUUCUUGAUAGUCCAUCACAAAGAAUGAUGACAAGAGCUCAACUUAGAAGAUAUUUUGGUAAUGUUGCUUUUGUUUCACAAAUUGAACCUAAAUGUUUUGAAGAUGCUCAAAAUGAUGAAAGUUGGAUUCUUGCCAUGCAAGAAGAACUAAAUCAAUUUGAGAGAAAUAAAGUUUGGAAUUUAGUGCCUAGACCAAAAGAUCAUUCAAUUAUUGGUACUAAAUGGGUUUUUAGAAACAAAAUGGAUGAAAAAGGCAAUGUUGUUAGAAACAAAGCUAGACUAGUGGCUCAAGGCUACAACCAAGAGGAAGGGAUUGAUUUUGAUGAAACCUUUGCUCCGGUUGCUAGAAUUGAAGCUAUUAGAAUGUUGUGUGCCUUUGCAUGUUACAAGGAUUUUAUGCUUUAUCAAAUGGAUGUCAAGAGUGCAUUUUUAAAUGGUUAUAUUGAUGAGGAAGUGUAUGUUGCACAACCUCUGGGCUUUGAAAAUCAUGAGCAUCCAAAUUAUGUUUAUAAACUUACUAAAGCUUUAUAUGGUUUAAAAUAAGCUCCUAGAGUAUGGUAUGAAAGGUUUAGUAAAUUUCUUUUACAAAAUGAUUUCUAAAGAGGCAAAGUGGACACAAUACUUUUUGUUAAGAAGCAUCAUAAUGAUAUGCUCAUUGUGCAAAUUUAUGUUGAUGAUAUAAUUUUUGGUGCUACUAAAGAAUCUCUUUGCAAGAAAUUUUCUAAGAUUAUGCAGAAUGAAUUUGAAAUGAGCAUGAUGGGUGAGCUCACAUUCUUCCUUGGACUUCAAAUUAAGCAAAUGAAAGAUGGCAUCUUCAUAAAUCAAUCAAAGUAUAUCAAGGAUAUGUUGAAGAAAUUUAAAAUGGAAGAUUUGAAGAGCAUGGGCACUCCUAUGAGUUCAAAAAUCAAAAUGGACAAUGAUGAAAAAGGUAAAGAAGUAGAUACCAAGCUUUAUAGAGGUAUGAUUGGCUCUCUUUUGUACCUUACUGCAUCUAGACCAGACAUACACUUUAGUGUUUGCUUGUGUGCAAGAUUUCAAUCAUGUCCAAAAGAAUCCCAUCUAAGUGCAGUUAAAAGAAUUUUUAGAUAUCUCAUUGGCUCACAAUCAAUUGGUUUAUGGUAUCCAAAGUGUGAAUCAUUUAAUCUUGUUGGCUAUAGUGACUCUGAUUUUGCUGGAAGUAGACUGGAUAGAAAAAGUACUUCAGGUACUUGUCAAUUUCUUGGUCUUGCACUAGUUUCUUGGCACAGUAAGAAACAAACUUCAGUAGCUUUAUCUACAGCUGAGGCAGAAUAUAUAGCUGCUGGUAGUUGUGUUGCUCAAAUUUUAUGGAUGAAACAACAAUUGGAAGAUUUUGGUUUAAAAUAUAAUCUUGUUCCAAUUAGGUGUGACAACACUAGUGCCAUAAACUUGGUCAAAAAUCCAGUCCAACAUUCAAGAACAAAACAUAUUGAGAUUAGACAUCAUUUUAUUAGAGAUCAUGUUCAAAAUGGAAAUAUCAAGAUAGAGUUUGUUGCCUCUGAAAAUCAACUUGCUGACAUUUUUACAAAACCUCUUAAUGAAGAAACCUUUUGUAGAAUUAGAAGGGAAAUUGGUAUGUGUGAAUCACUUGCUUGAAAUCUAAAUCAUAAUGACAUCAUGUAUCUACAUUUUAUUGAAUGUGUAAUUGAUCUGCUGUGAUAUUAGUUUGCUGAAAAAUCUUUAAAGAAUAUUAGCUAACUUGUUUGUGUACUUGUGAAAUUAGUUUACUAAGUUGUAUGCUAAUAUUGCGUGACUAAAAUUAGUUUGCUAUAUCGUGUACUGUUCAAAUCUCAAACCAAAACGUGAUUAUGGCUGAAAUUUUCUGCGUGUCCAGUUAUGCAUUUAUCUUUUCACAUUUGAUAUUACAUUCUCAAUGCUGUGUCAGACAUGUAAAAAUAUUUAUUUGUGCAUAUAAAGAUAAAUAGACUUGUUUAAAAUAAAAAAAAAAAGGGGGAAGAAAACAGGUUCAGAGAAAGUACACUGGAAUAGAAAAGCGCGGGACUCAAGAGAACUUAAAAUCCUCUGCCACACGAAACCGUCACCCUCUCUCUCCUCUGCAUCGGUUCAUGACGCCUCUAAAACAAACCCAUUUUCUUUCCGGCAAAAUAUAUCCAAACCCAUCAGACUUCUCGUCUCUCCUUUCCUCUCCACUCUUACAUACCGAAAAACCAGUACUCAUUUUCACAUUUUUUUUUCGUCAAUGGCUCAUGCUAAAUGAAAAUCUCCAGUUGCUGCGGCUGCUUCCUCAUCCUCAUCAGCCUCCGACGAUAUCCCUGUCGCUGCAUUACGAAAGAAAUUGAAAGGGAAGAAAAAUUUACCUGAAUCGAAAUUAACAAGUGGGUCUUCCGACCCAUCCAAGGCUGUCGAACCCACUAUAACGACGCCAGAAAAGAAAAAGAAGCGGCAAAUGCGAAAGAGUGAUACCCAACGCAAAAAUGGGGCUGCCCAAUCUUUGGGCUCAGUGGAUAAAGCACUAUUAGAUUGAAAAUUUAUCAAAUGGGAGUACUUCAAUCAGGUAAACUUUCAAUUCAAAGAGAUUUUUGAGUUUCAAGGAUGGAUGGCUGUUUGUGAAUGUACAAAUGCAUAUUACCCUAGGCUUGUUCAAGAUUUCUAUAGAACCUUAAGAACAGUUGAUGAUGAGGACAAAUUUGAGGUUGUUUUGAAUGAUAGUGUAUAUGCUGUUUCUGUUGAAAUGAUAGCUACGGCUUUGAACUUGCCUAAUGAUGGAAAUAAAAUCUCCACACAUAGAGAUGUUGCUAGGGUGCCAGCCUUUAAUUUGGUUGAGUUUGAAAAUGAAGUCUUCCCUGCCAACACUGCCACCAAUGAAAAGUCCACUAGCACAAAAGCUUUUCAACAUAUUAAAAUCAUUCACAGUAUAGUGAACUACAUUUUCUGUCCUAAGUCUGGCAGCUAUGGUUAUUUGAGUCACCUGGACAUGUGUAUUAUGUGUCACAUUGUUAACAAAGUACUGAUGAAUUUGGCUUAUUUAAUUUUCAAGAACAUGUGCAAAGCUUAUGGGAUUGGAAAACUGCCUUAUGCACAUCUCUUGACUGCUGUGUUUAAAGAGCUGAAUAUAAAUGUCUCUAAGGAAAGUUCUAGGACUGAUUUGAUUGUGCUUAGAGAAAUUCACUCUGACACUGACGGAAGAAAGAAAAUGUUUGAAAGGGGUGGUUCUUCCUCAGCUAAGGUUGGUUCCGAUUCUACAAAUGAAUUUAUGAGUGAGCUUCAAGGGCUAAAAGCUGCUGUUAAUGAUCAAUUUAGUUCAACCCAUCAGUCCAUUGAUCUUUUGAGAAAAUUUGUGGAUGUGGUUGACUACAAAGUAAGUCACCUGCUUACUCAAAAUGAGGAAUUAAAAAGGCUAAUUGUGGAUCUUCAGCAGGCCAAGGAAACUGGUUUCCCAACUAAGGUUGAGGCUGCUACUCAAGUCUCUGCUGAUAAGGGUGAAAGCAAUAAGGUUGGUGAGUCUCCUGAUGCUAUAGCACAUAAAAGUGACCAAGUAGCUGAACCUGAGCUUGAACCUGCAGUAGAAGCUCCUGUUGAGCAUGCUACUGAACAGGUCAUUGAACCUGAAAUUGGCCUCGCAGCUGAUGUACCUACUGAGCAUGAUAUUGGAAAGGUUGUAGAACCUGAAGGAGAGCUGCCUGUUGAACCUCCAACUGCUCCACCAGUUGAGACUGCUGCUGCCCCUACGCAGCACCAGGAAACCUCUUUAAAAGAUCACCAAGCUAGUGCUCAAACUCAGCUAUCUGCAGCUGCUGCCCCUGCAGCCAAGAAAGGAAAGAAAAGGUACAAAUCAACCAUGUCAAAUCCAUAUCAGACAUUAGCUGCUGCUCUUGAACCACCAUCUAAAGAAGAUGAGCCCGAGAAAGAUGAUCAAGUGGCUGACCAAGCACCUCAGCCCCCCUGUUAUUAAACUCCCUAGGAAGAAAAUGGUGCCUUCAAAAUCCACUCGCAGAAGUAAAAGACUUAAAUAGCAUCUCAUCUGGAUUUUUAGUUUACUAUCUGCAUAGUUAGUUUACUAGUCUGUUUGCUACUAUUGGUUUUUAGUUUGCUACCGUCUACCUUAUUGCGUUUACAUUUGGGCUAACAUGAUUCUUUUUGGGUUCUUUUCUCCUGUUUCAUUUUUGAUUGAUGACAAAAAGGGGGAGAAUGGAAUGGAUGCGUGCUUUUGUUUUGGGAAAAAUGGAUAUGUGCUUAUACUUUGAAAAUGGAAGUAUGUUUAUGUGCAAAUUAUUAAGUUUAACUUUUUGCAUAUUAAAAUUGUGAAUAUCUUAUAAACAUGCUUUGUAGCAUAAAUUCAGGGGGAGUUUUGUAUAGCUGACAAUAUUUUUUUUUACUUGUGUGCAUAUAUUUAGGGGGAGUAUUUUCCGCAUACUAGCUUGCUUGUAUAUACAUAAACUUACGCACACUUUUAUUUAUUCUUGAUUGAUGAUUCAAUUGAGUUUUGUCAUCA